rnacentral:rRNA from 1 species
AGUGAACGCUGGCAGUAGGCCUAACACAUGCAAGUCGAACGGCAGCACAGUAAGAGCUUGCUCUUACGGGUGGCGAGUGGCGGACGGGUGAGGAAUACAUCGGAAUCUACUUUUUCGUGGGGGAUAACGUAGGGAAACCUACGCUAAUACCGCAUACGACCUACGGGUGAAAGCAGGGGAUCUUCGGACCUUGCGCGAUUGAAUGAGCCGAUGUCGGAUUAGCUAGUUGGCGGGGUAAAGGCCCACCAAGGCGACGAUCCGUAGCUGGUCUGAGAGGAUGAUCAGCCACACUGGAACUGAGACACGGUCCAGACUCCUACGGGAGGCAGCAGUGGGGAAUAUUGGACAAAGGGCGCAAGCCUGAUCCAGCCAUACCGCGUGGGUGAAGAAGGCCUUCGGGUUGUAAAGCCCUUUUGUUGGGAAAGAAAAGCAGCAGGUUAAUACCCCGCUGUUCUGACGGUACCCAAAGAAUAAGCACCGGCUAACUUCGUG